GACGAACGCUGGCGGCGUGCUUAACACAUGCAAGUCGAACGGAAAGGCCCUGCUCUUGCGGGGUGCUCGAGUGGCGAACGGGUGAGUAACACGUGAGUAACCUGCCCUUGACUUUGGGAUAACUUCAGGAAACUGGGGCUAAUAUCGGAUAGGAGCUCCUGCUGCAUGGUGGGGGUUGGAAAGUUUCGGCGGUUGGGGAUGGACUCGCGGCUUAUCAGCUUGUUGGUGGGGUAGUGGCUUACCAAGGCUUUGACGGGUAGCCGGCCUGAGAGGGGGACCAGCGACAUGGGGACUAAGAGACGGCCCAGACUCCUACGGGAGGCAGCGGGGGGGAAUAUUGCACAAUGGGCGGAAGCCUGAUGCAGCAACGCCGCGUGCGGGAUGACGGCCUUCGGGUUGUAAACCGCUUUCGCCGGUGACGAAGCGUGAGUGACGGUAAUGGGUAAAGAAGCACCGGCUAACUACGUG
rnacentral:rRNA from 1 species